rnacentral:rRNA from 1 species
GAUGAACGCUGGCGGCGUGCCUAAUACAUGCAAGUCGAGCGAACGGACGAGAAGCUUGCUUCUCUGAUGUUGGCGGCGGACGGGUGAGUAACACGUGGAUAACCUACCUAUAAGACUGGGAUAACUUCGGGAAACCGGAGCUAAUACCGGAUAAUAUUUUGAACCGCAUGGUUCAAAAGUGAAAGACGGUCUUGCUGUCACUUAUAGAUGGAUCCGCGCUGCAUUAGCUAGUUGGUAAGGUAACGGCUUACCAAGGCAACGAUGCAUAGCCGACCUGAGAGGGUGACCGGCCACACUGGAACUGAGACACGGUCCAGACUCCUACGGGAGGCAGCAGUAGGGAAUCUUCCGCAAUGGGCGAAAGCCUGACGGAGCAACGCCGCGUGAGUGAUAAAGGUCUUCGGAUCGUAAAACUCUGUUAUUAGGGAAGAACAUAUGUGUAAGUAACUGUGCACAUCUUGACGGUACCUAAUCAGAAAGCCACGGCUAACUACGUG